rnacentral:RNase_P_RNA from 1 species
AGGGAUGUUGGGAUGGCCGCAGGCAGAGAAAAUUUCUGCUUGAGGAAAGUCCGGACUCCACAGGGCAGGAUGGUGGGUAAUGCCCACCGGGAGAGAUCCUAGGGAAAGUGCCACAGAAAACAUACCGCCAGGCGUAGAUCUGGUAAGGGUGAAAAGGUGAGGUAAGAGCUCACCGCUGAGGUGGUGACACCUCAGGCAGGGCAAACCCCAUCCGGAGCAAGGCCAAAUAGGAGAGCAGAGGUGGCCCGCUUCGCUAUCGACUCUCGGGUAGGCUGCAAAAAUCUGGUGGCAACGCCAGGUGAGAGAUAAAUGGCCAUCGCCUGAUUAUUUCGAGGUAAUCAGGUACAGAAUCCGGCUUACAAGACAUCCUUCCUC